rnacentral:misc_RNA from 1 species
UCGUACAACGGGGGUGCGAGGGCUGUCGCUGACCUUUCAAGGGUCGUGCACGCCCGAGUGCUCUCACAAUCCAUCUCACCCUUUGUGCAUCACCGCGUGGGUCCCCCUUUACGGGAGGGCUCGCGUUUUCACAUAAAACUCGAUACAGUAUAGAAUGUUUAUUUUUGCGGUCACACGCAAUCAAUA